CCUACGGGGUGCAGCAGUGAGGAAUAUUGGUCAAUGGCCGGAAGGCUGAACCAGCCAUGCCGCGUGAAGGUCAGUGCCCUAUGGGCGUUAAACUUCUUUUGAGCGGGAGGAAUAAUGGUCACGUGUGGCCAGACGAGAGUACCGUACGAAUAAGAAUCGGCUAACUCCGUGCCAGCAGCCGCGGUAAUACGUGGGAUGCAAGCGUUAUCCGGGUUUUUUGGGUUUAAAGGGUGCGUAGGCUGUGAGGUAAGUCAGCGGUGAAAUGCCCCCGCUCAAAGGGGUGAAGUGCCAUUGAUACUGCCUUGCUGGAAUGCGGAUGCCGUGAGAGGAAGGUGGGGUGUAGCGGUGAAAUGCAUAGAUAUCACACAGAACACCGAUUGCGAAGGCAUCUCACGAAUCCGCGAUUGACGCUGAUGCACGAAAGCGUGGGUAUCAAACAGGAUUAGAUACCCGUGUAGUC
rnacentral:rRNA from 1 species